GUGAGCAGGGAAACUGAUGGAGGACAGCAGGCAUGCGUCGUGAUGUUAGGAUGGGUGCUGCUGAGGAGGUAAGAAGAGAGGAGGGGGUGGUGGUACCAGGGGUCUCAUGCCUCUGCACAAUCAGAGCAGAGCCUGCUUUUAAUGAGGCGCCUGUUUAUUAAGUCCACUCAGGGAGGCUGUGCGAGUGCUUAGCAUUUGCUCUCUAAUUAGGAAAGCUAAACAGUCCCUUUUGCUGGGGAUCAAGCAUUUGGGGUGGGGGGGGAGCAGAGGCGAGGCUGUGCAUGGGGUGCAGAUUGCUUGGCCAAAACAAAUGAAGGAGGAGGAAGAGAGGAGGAUGAAGAGGAGGAAAAGAGAAGGAAAAAUAAAUAGGUUUUUGUCUUUGCAAACAAUAGGCUUAAAUUUUGGGGGGAGGAAGGGAAUUGAUUUUCACACACUGGGAAUGAUGAAGAAACCAAUAACUUGGAGCGCUAGCAGGUGCUACAACAUGAGGAGGUGGAUCCAUCUCAUUACAAGGACUCCCCCUGGUGGUUGAGUUAAAGAACUGCAGCAAAGAAUCACUGCAGUUUUGGCCUUUUUCCCCUGAUUAUUGAGAAGAUUUGGACCGUUUCAUGGUUUUAAUUAUGCACAGCUGUCUUAAAUAUGCGCUCCUAACUAAUAACUAUACUCUGACCGUAUUCCUUUGAGCGUGCGUGGGCGAGAGGACGCGUUUCCCAAAGCAGCACGACAGCCAUGAUGAGGAUGUUGACAGGGAAAACAACACCAUCCUGCCACAGCUCCUUUCCAUCCACACAAUAAAUGCCUCCUUGAUUACGCGCCUCCCCGCCUCGCAGAUUGCUGUUAAAGUGCAAGAGAAGACAGGCGUCUUUUUAGAUUAAGACCCUGAUCAAAUUUUCAUAACUCAAUUUUGGUUAGAGGUGGGAGGCGGGGUUCAAAAGUGUGUGUAAUCUGCUGUAAUCAAGUUCCAAUUUCAUCUGAGGCAAACUGUGACACUGAUAAUAGAGUCGUAACAGAUUUUUGGCUUUUACAAGUUAAACUGAAUAAAACAGAAGGUGUUUUUUUAUAGUUUAGAAAAGUAAACGUGUGAAACUCGAUCAAAUCAAAAUCCACCACCAGCAGUUCCAUUUUUCCAUCGUUUUAUCUGCCCUUUCGACAAGGUGAGCGUCGGGGAGUUUAUUCUAUAUUAAUGGGACACUGUUUGCUCCUUAUAAUUCAAUCUCAUAAAUAAUCCAGUUCCCCGAGUAAGUUGCUUUGUCCUGAUCCUGUCUGGAUCCUGUGAAACUGGAGUCCGCCGUUGGAAUAUCAACUAUGAGACCCAAACUACCCGUGCUGUUGGCCUUCAUACGUCCUCGAGAAUAGGGCGUCCAUGCUUUCCUAAAAGAACGUCAAACAUCGAUCUGUCAGAAAGUUUUCCACUUUGCUUCAAUCCAUAUUGAAAGAAUGAAUGUAAAUACUCCCCCUCACUGCAAAAACAGCCCUACUAGAGAGAAGCAAAAUAGUCUUAUAUUCAAUCAAAUAGAGAAUUCUUAAAAGAACAAAUUUAUUGGCCCCGACAAACUCAAAUGAAUCUAGAAAACUAGACAGAAAAUCUUCUAUUUAUCUCAUUUUUCUACAGCAAGUGAUGAAAAAUGAAGAUGAAGUUACUUAAAAUUAGAAUUUUAGUCUCUUGAAUAAAUGAAAAAUACUUUAAUCUAGGAUUAUUAAUGAGCAUGACAGCAGUUCAAAUAAGACAUAAUUUCUUAAAACAGCAGAGCAAAUAUAAGUGACGUUGUCUUAAAUCAAGAUACCAAAACAUUCUCAUUAAAUAUAUAUUUUUUAUUCCACAAGCAAGCAUGUGGUAAGAAAGCAUGUUCUUUGUUGUUUUGCCGUUCUCAUCUGGUCGUUGUAUUAUGUUGUCUUUUGUACAGACGAGCCUACUGACAUCUUUAUAUGUCAGAUAAUGGAUGAGGCAGCAGGUUCUGUCAGGUUUAGAUGACCUACAAUGGAAAUCUUAAUAAAACAAAUAAAUAAACAACUGUUGUUUAAUGGCAUUCUUAAAUUGAGAAGUGGUACAUAUGUCUUACUCUUAAAAUGAGACGAAUGAUCUUGUUGCUCCGCUGGAUUUUAUUGAAAAACAUUUUUCGACUCUAUUUCUGUUCAUUCUAUCUCAAAAUUAGCUGGAAUAUUUUAUCAAGAAAAAGUUCAUUUUCUCUUAAAACUAGAUUUUCCGCCUCACAACCAAUCAGAUUGAGGGAGGCGGAGAACGACUUUGUUUACAGUCAGAAAGAGCAGACCACUUAAAAAAUUUAAAACGUUGACAAAACAGACGUUAUAUUAUCAAAUGUCAUCACUGACUAAUAGCUAUUGACUGAUAUUAAAAGCUCUUUUGUAUUUACUCCACAAAAAAGAUGCUUCUUUAACAGAAUCGACUGUGUUCUAGUGAUUUUGAGCUGAUGCAGCGACUUGCACUACAGAGUCAUGCCUGUUUUUAGACAAACGGAAGCAUUUUUCAGUAGAUGGUUAUAAAGUUUUUAAUGUGGUGUACUUAAAUGACCCGUAACUCCAGUUUAAUCCCAACAGUCAGUCUAUUCAAACAGUAAUCACCUCUAUUACAGGACUGCUUCACUGACUGACAGUACAUGACCUUUUAACAUGUAGCUUUAUUUAUUCCUGUGUGCUAAUGGGGGUUACGUGCCUUAAUAUCCGCUCGACAUCUCUCUUUUCUCGCUCUUUUUUCCACUCUCGGUUGUGUCUGUCACCUCUCUCUCUUUUUCUUACUCUCCCAGACAGUCGACUGGUACGACCACACCAGACUGCGAGUAUUUUUAGCGCGGCCACAGAUGGGACCAUGGCAGCGUGUCAGCAACCAGAAUGUUCUUUAUCUCAGCUGUUGGGCCAAAAUGGACUCGUCCACCCGGGGAGAGAAGCUGGAAAUGACGGGAUGCUUUCCCCCCUUUCUCCCUUUUUUAUAAUCUUCAAAUUGGGGGUUUAAUCAAUCUUAAAUAACUCCUUCUGUUGGAGGUGGUAAUGGAGGGAAACGCCAGCAAUUGCUGCGUCAGCUCUUGAAUGGGAGCUGAAUCCAAACCUGUGAUCAGCAGAGGUAAAAUUACAGGCCAGACUUUGGAAGAAAAUAUGUUUUUACUACAAAAGACAGAUCUCUGAAAAGACUGAAUCACCUGAUAUGAGGACAAAUUACCAGGUUAGUUAUACUCAAGAGUUACAGCCUUGCAGCUGUUUGUCACUGCCAACCAGUGAAAUUGAAACAAACGUUGAUGUAUGUAUUUCCAAAUAGAAAGGCCGCGAG